UCUGCUCAAUGAUUUUUUAAAUUGCUGUGGUAUUUUGACUAUACAAAGGUAUUGUAAUAAGACUUUAAUUGAGUGCUAAAAGAAUGGAUCAACAAGAAAAAUCUUUCUUAAUUUCAAAAUUAAAAUUUAUUUUUAUAAGUGAAGAAACAAUAAUUAAAAUUAAAGACAAGAAGACCCUAAGAAUUUUUUAAAAUAAUUGAUCUAUAAAGAUAAAUUAUUUUUUUAAUUGGGGCGAUUAUUUAAUAUAAAAAACUUAAAUUAACCUACAAAAAUGAACCAAUAUUAUUGGUUAAAUGCAAAAAUACUCUAGGGAUAACAGCGUAAUAAUUUUUGAUAGUUCCUAUAGACAAAAUAGUUUGCGACCUCGAUGUUGGAUUAGGAUAUUAUUUUUAAUGAAGAAGUUAAAAGAAAAAGUUUGUUCAACUUUUAAAUUCCUACUUGAUCUGAGUUCAGACCGGA
rnacentral:rRNA from 1 species